rfam:Brevibacillus choshinensis strain DSM 8552 super29, whole genome shotgun sequence.
GAAGCCCUGCGAUGCACGUGAAAUCCGAUAGUUUUGAGCCACAAAGUUUUUUUAGGGAGUUUUUCGUCCGCAACUGUAAAGGCAUGCCUCCGUUUGAGUGGACGUCUGUAAUGGUUGGGCAAGACACCCACCUGCGAUGAGCAGGUUCAAAACUAAGGAGCUACACGGCAUAAUGGGGCUCCU